AAUCUUAUAGUUUCUGAAUCUAUACCUAAACGUCGCCAUUGUCAAAAAAAGAGGUUGAUCAUCCAUAAGGUCUUGCUAUCUCUGUACCACCAACUUCUAGAAUGCCACUAAAACCAA